rnacentral:rRNA from 1 species
GAAAAGAACCCCGGCGAGGGGAGUGAAAAAGAACCUGAAACCGUGUACGUACAAGCAGUGGGAGCACGCUUAGGCGUGUGACUGCGUACCUUUUGUAUAAUGGGUCAGCGACUUAUAUUCUGUAGCAAGGUUAACCGAAUAGGGGAGCCGAAGGGAAACCGAGUCUUAACUGGGCGUUAAGUUGCAGGGUAUAGACCCGAAACCCGGUGAUCUAGCCAUGGGCAGGUUGAAGGUUGGGUAACACUAACUGGAGGACCGAACCGACUAAUGUUGAAAAAUUAGCGGAUGACUUGUGGCUGGGGGUGAAAGGCCAAUCAAACCGGGAGAUAGCUGGUUCUCCCCGAAAGCUAUUUAGGUAGCGCCUCGUGAAUUCAUCUCCGGGGGUAGAGCACUGUUUCGGCAAGGGGGUCAUCCCGACUUACCAACCCGAUGCAAACUGCGAAUACCGGAGAAUGUUAUCACGGGAGACACACGGCGGGUGCUAACGUCCGUCGUGAAGAGGGAAACAACCCAGACCGCCAGCUAAGGUCCCAAAGUCAUGGUUAAGUGGGAAACGAUGUGGGAAGGCCCAGACAGCCAGGAUGUUGGCUUAGAAGCAGCCAUCAUUUAAAGAAAGCGUAAUAGCUCACUGGUCGAGUCGGCCUGCGCGGAAGAUGUAACGGGGCUAAACCAUGCAC